GUUUUACAGGAAGGCUGUGAACAACUGUAAACAAUGAAAUCUCACUUCCAGAUAUAAUUGAAACGACAACCAUUGCUGAAAUAGAAAUAAACAAGGAAUAUGUCCCUCAAUACCAAAAUACAUCCUCACAAGAAUAUAAAGAUUUUGUACAGGUCUUCAAAGUUCAGAUGAUACCGUACUACGAAACCAAGAUUGAAAACUUCUUAAAUAUAACAAAUAUAACACUGAGGUAUAUCUGCUCUUUUAUAAACAACUACAUUGAACCAUUAUAUACAAAUAAAAUACUAUGUUUUGUAACUGGUUAGAAAUUACAAUAAUUGUUGUUAAAACCUCUCUAAACCACAGUGACAGAAAUUCUUUAAUGGGCCGAAUAGGGAGUAAAUUAAU